rnacentral:rRNA from 1 species
CUGGGCUCGAAAUGCUAUGGACCGGGGUAAAAAUAUCCCUUCCCCGCAAGGGGCCGUAGUAUAGGUGCUGCAUGGCUGUCGUCAGCUCGUGUCGUGAGAUGUUGGGUUAAGUCCCGCAACGAGCGCAACCCUUACCUCCAGUUGCUACCAUUUAGUUGAGCACUCUGGCGGAACCGCCUCGGAUAACGGGGAGGAAGGUGGGGAUGACGUCAAGUCCUCAUGGCCUUUAUGUCCAGGGCUACACACGUGCUACAAUGGCCGGUACAAACCGUCGCAAACCCGUGAGGGGGAGCUAAUCGGAAAAAGCCGGCCUCAGUUCGGAUUGCAGUCUGCAACUCGACUGCAUGAAGCUGGAAUCGCUAGUAAUCGCGGAUCAGAACGCCGCGGUGAAUACGUUCCCGGGCCUUGUACACACCGCCCGUCACAUCACGAAAGUGGGUUGCACUAGAAGCCGGUGAGCCAACCGCAAGGGGGCAGCCGUCCAAGGUGUAAUUCAUGAUUGGGGUG